CGCGUGGGUAACCUGCCUCAUACACAUGGAUAACAUACCGAAAGGUAUGCUAAUACAAGAUGAUAUAAGAGAUUCGCAUGAAUUUCUUAUCAAAGCUUUUGCGGUAUGAGAUGGACCCGCGUCUGAUUAGCUAGUUGGUAAGGUAAUGGCUUACCAAGGCUUCGAUCAGUAGCCGACCUGAGAGGGUGAUCGGCCACAUUGGAACUGAGACACGGUCCAAACUCCUACGGGAGGCAGCAUG
rnacentral:rRNA from 1 species